rnacentral:rRNA from 1 species
UACAGAGGUGGCAAGCGUUGCUCGGAUUCACUGGGCUUAAAGGGCAUGUAGGCGGCCGAGUAAGCGUCUCGUGAAAUCCCCCGGCUCAACCGGGGAAUUGCGGGACGAACUGCUCGGCUCGAGGCGGAUAGGGGCGACUGGAACUCUGGGUGGAGCGGUGAAAUGCGUAGAUAUCCAGGGGAACGCCGGAGGUGAAAACGGGUCGCUGGGUCCGUCCUGACGCUGAGGUGCGAAAGCCAGGGGAGCGAAUGGG